rnacentral:rRNA from 1 species
GAUCAUGGCUCAGGAUGAACGCUAGCUACAGGCUUAACACAUGCAAGUCGAGGGGCAGCAUGAACUUAGCUUGCUAAGGCCGAUGGCGACCGGCGCACGGGUGAGUAACGCGUAUCCAACCUGCCUUACACUCUUGGACAGCCUUCUGAAAGGGAGAUUAAUACAAGAUGUUAUCAUGGGUAAGCAUUUUCGCAUGAUUAAAGGUUUACCGGUGUAAGAUGGGGAUGCGUUCCA